UACGGAGGUGGCAAGCGUUGUUCGGAAUUACUGGGCGUAAAGGGCGCGUAGGCGGGGGGGUAAGUCGGGUGUGAAAGCCCUCGGCUCAACCGAGGAACGGCGCCCGAGACUGCCUCUCUUGAGUCCCGGAGAGGAAGGUGGAAUUCCCGGUGUAGCGGUGAAAUGUGUAGAGAUCGGGAGGAACACCGGUGGCGAAGGCGGCCUUCUGGACGGUGACUGACGCUGAGGCGCGAAAGCGUGGGGAGCAAACGGG
rnacentral:rRNA from 1 species